rnacentral:rRNA from 1 species
GGUUGCGAUCAUACCAGCACUAAUGCACCGGAUCCCAUCAGAACUCCGCAGUUAAGCGUGCUUGGGCGAGAGUAGUACUAGGAUGGGUGACCCCCCGGGAAGUCCUCGUGUUGCAACCC